UUCAACUUUUAAAAAUUCAAAUGCAAUAUUUUAUUGUCCUCCAAUUCAACUUGCUCAAACUCGCUGUCUCAAAUUCAGCGUCUAAAAAUUUGCUGUAAACAUGGCAAGGUUACUUCAGGUCACAGACAUUAGCAAUGGAUGUCAGAUUCUAACACCCAGCUAAUCACGUGACACAACCGUCAUAUUGAAAAACUACCAGCAUCACCGAGGCUGGCGACCAUGGAGGCGACCGCAAACCCAACGGUGAGUUUAAUGCUUUCAUAUUUCUGUAUUAUAUUUUAUUUUGCGCAUGAAGUUUGAUACAUUACCUUAAAGCUUGAUUUAAAACACGGUUUUGGGCCGUUGUUAAUCUUACACCAUGUAGUGCUAGCAUAUUACUUCUCGCUACCUCCUAGCCCCCCCAGCCCCUCCCCGCUGCCCCUCACCCAAUUUACCCCGUUUUAUUUCAAAAAGAAAUACCACUUGCGCCAAGUCUAGAAUCUUGAAAGAGAACUGAUGGGUGGCGACUUUCUGGGUUGUUUGAUGUUGUCUUAGGUGAGACUGAGACAGGCAGUCUUAGUAAAGUCAUAAUUUUUCAGGAGAUGCUACCGCUAAUGUACUAAGCUAAUAUGGCUGCUGCCUUGUGUGCUUCAAGGAGGGGCUGUGAACACUACCGACAUUAAUUAUAACCACAACCCCAUUCUGUUCAGCUACUGUAUUGUUCAGGUGACUUCAUUUAUGAAUUAAUUAAGAAAUUUAUUGUCAGUAUAACAUCAUCCAAAAUACUGCUUCUCUUGAGAUACAAUAUUAAUUUACAUUAUUUUCUUUCUUGCUUUUCUUCCCUCUGAGUCAUUUGUGAUGUCUUUUGCAGCUCGAAGGAGAAUCCAGGCUCUCUGAUACUCAAAUGGAAAGAGCUUGGCAUAUUCAUGUGACCUUCUUUGCCCCACAGAGAACAAUAGGAAGUGGCUUUCUGAGAAGCUGUUACUUCAUGCAGUGUUUUUCCUGAGACGUCCUGGAUUCUCCUCGUGACGAUUCCCCCUGGCUUCCUAUACUAGACCUCCCUCGUGACGCCGUGGAACAUACCCCCUGGUUGCCUGAGUUUCCAGACUCACCUCCUCCGUCUGAUCGCAAGUUCCUCCUGGAUGUUCCGACUGGCAGUCGUGCCGCUCCUCUGUCUCUGUUCUGCCUGAACCUACCUGUCCGCCCUCCGACAACACUCCCUCGCAGCCUUCUGCAUCUCUGUGGCUAAGCUCUGUUCCUCCUGGACCACAAGGAAACAAGGACCCCGAGCACUGCAGUUAUCCCUCCAAAUCUACAAACUUCUGUUCAACAAUGUGCCGACCACUCCGUGAGCCUUUCCCCCCCUGGAUAGACCCGUUAUCUUCAGUGCAUUCUAUCAUUGCUGUUGUAAUAAAUUCACUUGCAUUAUA